UACGUAGGGUGCGAGCGUUAAUCGGAAUUACUGGGCGUAAAGCGUGCGCAGGCGGUGAGCUGUGUCCGAUGUGAAAGCCCCGGGCUUAACCUGGGAAUGGCCGUCGAAACUGGCGAACUGGAGUGUGGCAGAGGGGGGUGGAAUUCCGCGUGUAGCAGUGAGAUGCGUAGAGAUGUGGAGGAACACCGAUGGCGAAGGCAGCCCCCUGGGCUGACACUGACGCUCAGGCACGAAAGCGUGGGGAGCAAACAGG
rnacentral:rRNA from 1 species